CCGAGUCAAAGCUGUGAAAGUUUCCCGCCUCGCCUUCAAUACGACUUCCGUCGACGGGGACCAAGCGCGUUGGCGGGGAGGCUGCGGAGUCCAUUGUCCGGGAACGUGGUUGGGAAAGGCACUCGGAGGGCCGCUGGAGGAGGGUGGAUGGUCGAUCAAGGUGAGACCGCCGUAGGGGAUGGUUAAAUAUACCGACUGCGAGAGAAGAUUGGACAGCAGAACAUUUUUGAGCCGGAUGACAGAUUGUUCGUGCACGAGUCAUGUAUGGAGUGAGGGUCCCGCUCCGGAACAAGCCCUAGGAAAUUUCCCCUUAUUCCAUCUCUCUUUCACUCUCUGCUUGUCAACUCGAGGGAGAAAGAAAGAGGCAAUACCGCUUGACAAGUGAUACUGCGAGAAGCAGCUUCCAGACACGCCUUCGGCGAGGAAAAGGCAUCAGUAGUGCUUCCGGCACCAGCCAGCUUUGGCUUUCUGAAAUUGGACGAUGAGGUUUGUAUAAGAAGAUGAUAAUGGUGGACUUCGACUAUGCGAAAUGAUGUUGGCGAUUCCUUGAAAUACUUCUAAGGGGUUUUGUCGUCCAGCGAUAAAUGCAAAUGUUUUGAUCUUAAGCAGAUCCUCAACCAAGUAGCCAAGCUAUACCAGUGAAAAUGUUUGGUGAAAAUGUUCUAGAUGCUACCAAGAAGUUUGAGAAUUCAUCAUAGAAAAGAAGGAACUUGAUGGGUUACCUGCAAUCUGCACUUGCUCUGUUUGCCCAAAAAGACGAGAAGUUCCAUCACAGUAAGAAGAAGGUUCAGGAAAAUGGAGGCUUGGAUGCGAGAUGAACGUGGAAAUUGCACUUUGUUUGGAUUGGGGAGGAACAAAAUUCUUUCAUAAAUAAAUCAGGUCGUAAAGCACAACAUAAGUUAAGAAGCAAUUGAUUCUUCCGAUGGAGGUUAGUUGUUCACCUCUUCUUCGGCUGCAUUUGAAUGCUUUAUUCUAAUUUCAAGGAUAUAUGCAGUUUGGACUGCAUUUUACCCUGCAUUCAAGCACAAGGGCAACAGUUAGAGGAGCUUUUUCUUUUAUGUAGCAUUCAAGCGCCCAAGACUUAACGAAUCAAGUCCACAUAAUCAACUGAACCAUUCUUUAGAAACAUCUCUUCUUUCCUUGAAGUCAUUGAUGAACGUGUGAAAAGUUUAUUUUUACGCCUGAAUGAGUUAAAAAGCAUACAAAUUUCUAACAAAAAGACCAUAUAUAGAAAGGACCCAAUUGCUGCUAUCUAUUAUAUUUUCAACCUUAGUUCCCUAAAGCACCAGUUGCUCCGGGAAGAAUGUUAUCCAACCGAGUAUACCAGUACCAUCCCCUUCGAAUGUACAGCACAGUGACGUAAUAGACCACCAUUUGCACAAUAUUUUAUAAAGGGGAAACACUCAGUAUGAUUGCUCGACCAUUAGAACUUAUCUCAUGGCUCUUACUCCGCUUAGCAGUGGCGAAGCUUGCAAACCCGCUGCGCAGUGACUGUAGAUUUGGUAAGCAAUUGACUUCAUCAGCUUCACAUUAAUUAUGACUUUCUCUCUCACUCUCACUCAUAUAUAUAUAUAUAUGAUCGAAAGAUCAUGUAAUCUGCCAAAUUAUAUAUUGGAUAUUUGUAAUUAUGUCAUCCUACGUUACAAAAGGUAGUCACCAUAUACGCACUGAUAGUUGUGUGGAGCGCAUGGGAUCAAAUGAUGGUGAGGAUGUGAGAUUUCUUUAGAAAUGUAAGUUGGUGGAUGACUACUUAUGAUAUGAUUCCUCUUUUGUAGCUGAACAAUAUGAAUAUAUUUGUUGGCAACCAGAUCCUAUUAUGUUUGAUCUGCGCAGGUCCAUCUCAUUAGUGCCUUGUGUGUUUUCGUUGCAUCCAUUCCUGACCGGCUGUGCGAGGGCAUUUGAGAGUCCCUGUUAAAAUGAUAACAAUCAGAUCGAGGGA